CACCCUAAUCAUUUGUCCCACCUUAGACGGCUCGCUCCCUAAAAGGGUUACGCCACCGGCUUCGGGUGUUACAAACUCUCAUGGUGUGACGGGCGGUGUGUACAAGGCCCGGGAACGUAUUCACCGCGGCGUGCUGAUCCGCGAUUACUAGCGAUUCCGACUUCGUGUAGGCGAGUUGCAGCCUACAGUCCGAACUGAGAAUGGCUUUAAGAGAUUAGCUUGACCUCGCGGUCUCGCAACUCGUUGUACCAUCCAUUGUAGCACGUGUGUAGCCCAGGUCAUAAGGGGCAUGAUGAUUUGACGUCAUCCCCACCUUCCUCCGGUUUGUCACCGGCAGUCUUACUAGAGUGCCCAACUAAAUGCUGGCAACUAGUCAUAAGGGUUGCGCUCGUUGCGGGACUUAACCCAACAUCUCACGACACGAGCUGACGACAACCAUGCACCACCUGUCAUUUUGCCCCCGAAGGGGAAACCUGAUCUCUCAGUGAUCAAAAGAUGUCAAGACCUGGUAAGUUCUUCGCGUUGCUUCGAAUUAACCACAUGCUCCACCGCUUGUGCGGGCCCCCGUCAAUUCCUUUGAGUUUCACCUUGCGGUCGUACUCCCAGCGGAAUGCUUAUGCGUUA
rnacentral:rRNA from 1 species